rnacentral:rRNA from 1 species
GAGAGGGGGGGGUCGUACGGUCAUGGUUCAGCGGAGGAAGGAGCUUGCUCCUGGAUUCAGCGGCGGACGGGUGAGUAAUGCCUAGGAAUCUGCCUGGUAGUGGGGGACAACGUUUCGAAAGGAACGCUAAUACCGCAUACGUCCUACGGGAGAAAGCAGGGGACCUUCGGGCCUUGCGCUAUCAGAUGAGCCUAGGUCGGAUUAGCUAGUUGGUGAGGUAAUGGCUCACCAAGGCGACGAUCCGUAACUGGUCUGAGAGGAUGAUCAGUCACACUGGAACUGAGACACGGUCCAGACUCCUACGGGAGGCAGCAGUGGGGAAUAUUGGACAAUGGGCGAAAGCCUGAUCCAGCCAUGCCGCGUGUGUGAAGAAGGUCUUCGGAUUGUAAAGCACUUUAAGUUGGGAGGAAGGGUUGUAGAUUAAUACUCUGCAAUUUUGACGUUACCGACAGAAUAAGCACCGGCUAACUCUGUGCCAGCAGCCGCGGUAAUACAGAGGGUGCAAGCGUUAAUCGGAAUUACUGGGCGUAAAGCGCGCGUAGGUGGUUUGUUAAGUUGGAUGUGAAAUCCCCGGGCUCAACCUGGGAACUGCAUCCAAAACUGGCAAGCUAGAGUAUGGUAGAGGGUGGUGGAAUUUCCUGUGUAGCGGUGAAAUGCGUAGAUAUAGGAAGGAACACCAGUGGCGAAAGGCGACCACCUGGACUGGAUACUGACACUGA